AGCUGCUUUACCACCAGUCGCGUUGCCUUUCGCGCCAGGCUCUCGCUGCAGUGUGUUACUGUUGGACGAGGGUUGUGUGUUCUCUAUGCGGCUUCUGUCGCUGCUCUCUGCCCGCCUGUGACACGUGUGUGUAUGUGUGUGUGUGUGUGUGUGAGCCGUUGCCAACGUCUUCCUUCGGGUCUUUCCCUUUCAGGCAUUUUUCGGGUCGUGGCGCGGGGAGGUCACGCACGCAUCGCAUCGGUCCAGCGAGGGGAAAAAACAGCCAGACAGAGGGAAGGGGGCAGCGGUGCUUCGUCGAGGGACCGCGACAGAACCCGCUCGUGCUCUCUCCCCGUUCAGGUACUUCAGCAGUUGCGUUGUACGCACCCGACACAGACACCUAAGCACGCAUAUGUGCUCGCCAGUGUCAACACCUGCGGUGAGGACCCUUGACGGGGUGCGGUGUUGGACGGCUGCGGCGACCAGCAUGUGGCACUCGCGGCAUCGAUGUCCUCCCUGGUCCAACACCGUGUGUCAGCGCGGUGCCUGUGUCGGGCUCACAUUCGGUAGCUCCUUCAUGACCCCCGUCGCCGCCGUCGGCAGCAUGAGCACAAGUGGCGCACUCUGCGUGGCGUACCGUCACCAAGCCACAGACCAGUUCCACCGAUUCCUGCACAACCCACAUGUGGUGCAACCGGACGGGGUCGACGGACUGCCACGGGUUAAAGGUGAUCAGCAGCAAUGGCUCAACACGGAGCAGUGGCACGGGUACAGCGAUACGUAUUUGCAGCGGCACAUGCAGUACCCGGCCACCGUCGAACUGAACAACCCCGCCGUCAAUGCACGACACGACCUCCUCUACGAAUGUCUAGGACUUGUUUACGAGCUGUACGGUGGCCUCGCCGAGGAUCUGCAGGAGCUGCACGAUGACCCCCUUCACCCGCACUUCCACCGCCGCAUCGCCCGCAUCAAGCGCGACCGCGAGCGCAUCGCCGCCGAGCUCGACAAGCGCUACGCGAAACUGCAUCCAACGGUGAAGACGGUGUACGACGCGUUCCUCGUCCGUCGCUACUACCACCUCGCCGACUGGAUCGAGCAUGUUGAGCGGAAGCGAGAACGUCUCAUCAAUGACCUCAGCCCCGAUGUCAUGGAAAAGAGGAUGAGAAUGCGUGGCAUCGCAGAGCAGUACCUGCGACAUCUGCGUGUCCUCGAGUACGCGCUUUAUGAAGAUCCUCUUAUGGGCCUCCUCGAGGGUGAUCGGGACACGAACGUCCUCAAUCAGUAUACGCCUGGCGAGCUGGCGAUUCUGCGGCAGAAGGCGGCCUACUUCCGUAAGAUGCGCCGGUUCGGCGCGAAUCAACUAGACGCCGACCUGCACACGCACUGAAGCAUGGGCCCAGUCCACCCGAUAUGUGCCCCCGGUGUGGGGUACCCCCUGCAGCAGCCGCGUCCCGUCCGACAGCUCAUCACCACCACCGCCGCCACCACCCCCUGCCCUGCCUCAUCCUUCAGAAACCCACGCGCGAACAUCCCUCCAUACUCAUCAUUAUCUGGGCAUCGUCCUUUCCCUCCGACGAUCACCGCACC
rnacentral:misc_RNA from 1 species